CCUACGGGAGGCUGCAGUGAGGAAUAUUGGUCAAUGGACGAGAGUCUGAACCAGCCAAGUAGCGUGAAGGAUGACUGCCCUAUGGGUUGUAAACUUCUUUUAUAUGGGAAUAAAAUGUUCCACGUGUGGGAUUUUGUAUGUACCAUAUGAAUAAGGAUCGGCUAAGUCCGUGCCAGCAGCCGCGGUAAUACGGAGGAUCCGAGCGUUAUCCGGAUUUAUUGGGGUUAAAGGGAGCGUAGGUGGAUUGUUAAGGCAGUUGUGAAAGUUUGCGGCUCAACCGGAAAAUUGCAGGGGAACCUGGCAGUCUUGAGUACAGUAGAGGUGGGCGGAAUUCGUUGUGUAGCGGUGAAAUGCUUAGAUAUCACGAAGAACUCCGAUUGCGAAGGCAGUUCACUGGACUGCAACUGACACUGAGGCUCGAAAGUGUGGGUAUCAAACAGGAUUAGAUACCCGUGUAGUC
rnacentral:rRNA from 1 species